rnacentral:rRNA from 1 species
UACAGAGGUCUCAAGCGUUGUUCGGAUUCAUUGGGCGUAAAGGGUGCGUAGGCGGGCAGGUAAGUCCGUGGCGAAAUCUCCGAGCUUAACUCGGAAACUGCCAUGGAUACUAUUUGUCUUGAAUACUGUGAAGGUGAGCGGAAUAUGUCAUGUAGCGGUGAAAUGCUUAGAUAUGACAUAGAACACCAAAUUGCGAAGGCAGCUCACUGCGCAGUGAUUGACGCUGAGGCACGAAAGCGUGGGGAUCAAACAGG